AUGAUGAUACCAGUCACACCGCCU
rnacentral:siRNA from 1 species